AGGAGAAGCCGAGCCAGCCCUGCCUUCUGGGCUCCGGCUCCAGAAGAAGGGUGUAACCUGAAUCCCCACUUGGGAGCCAGAAAUCAGCUGAGAAGAAGCCUCUGGAGAAAGACUGUCCUGGUCCUGGAGGGUGGAUGAAGUGGGGCCUCCCCACAGCUCAUCCCACUGAGCAGACUGGACUGAGUUCCUGACUUGCAUUUAAAGGAUUGGACUGGGUACGGUGAGGCUCCAGAUUAAACAUAGCGA